rnacentral:rRNA from 1 species
GAUGAACGCUGGCGGCGUGCUUAACACAUGCAAGUCGAACGGAGUUCCUUGGAUAGAGGUUUCGGCCAUUGAAUUGGAACUUAGUGGCGGACUGGUGAGUAACGCGUGAGGAACCUGCCUUUCAGAGGGGGACGAACAGUUGGAACGACUGCUAAUACCGCAUGAUACAUUCGGAUCGCAUGGUCUGAAUGUCAAAGAUUUAUCGCUGAAGAUGGCCUCGCGUCUGAUUAGCUAGUUGGUGAGAUAACAGCCCACCAAGGCAACGAUCGGUAGCCGACCUGAGAGGGUGAUCGGCCACAUUGGAACUGAGACACGGUCCAGACUCCUACGGGAGGCAGCAGUGGGGAAUAUUGGGCAAUGGGCGAAAGCCUGACCCAGCAACGCCGCGUGAGGGAAGAAGGGUUUCGGCUCGUAAACCUCUGUCCUAUGGGACGAAGAAGUGACGGUACCGAUAGGAGGAAGCCCCGGCUAACUACGUGCCAGCAGCCGC